rnacentral:rRNA from 1 species
UACGUAGGGUGCGAGCGUUAAUCGGAAUUACUGGGCGUAAAGCGUGCGCAGGCGGUUUUGUAAGCCAGAUGGGAAAGCCCCGGGCUCAACCUGGGAACCGCGCUUGAGACUGAUGGGCUAGAGUUCGGGAGAGGAUGGUGGAAUUCCCAGUGUAGAGGUGAAAUUCGUAGAUAUUGGGAAGAACACCGAUGGCGAAGGCAGCCAUCUGGACCGACACUGACGCUGAGGCGCGAAAGCGUGGGGAGCAAACAGG